rnacentral:lncRNA from 1 species
UUUGUUUCUCACGGCUAAGAACAUACAUUUAGCAUCUUCUGCUUGGUGUUGGAUAGUUCCACCGCUCUUGCAUGCCAUUGGAAUCCCACGACUUCAUGGGAGGCAGUUUUUUUAGCACACGGGUAUAGGUACACCCGUUGCUUGCAUACCAUCUAAAUAGUCAUCAAAACAUAUGAAAAAAAUUGAGAAGAUAGUUUAAUAUGAGUUAUUUCACUCCACCAACAUGCAAGUUUAAAUUUAACUUCUACAAGUUGUAGCAAAAAUAACAAAAAUAAUUAUGAAUAUGUGUAUACUUAGUUUUAGUUUUGUUUGUUUUUUACUACAACUAGUAGAAGUUGAAUUUAAUCUUGCAUGUUUAUGAAGUGAUAUAACUUAUAUUAAUCUAUCUUAUCAAUUUUUUCAUAUUUUUUGAUGACUAUAUAGAUUGUAUGUAAGCACACGGGUAUAUGCUAAAAACUGUUUCCCCGACUUCCUACGUACACCACCAGCACCAGAAACUGAGAACACCAAAGGUAUGAGAUCACUUGUCCGGUGGGUAGGAUUACAAAUAGCCAUAUAUCGAGGUUUGCUAUUGUUUUUGUGUCAUCAGAAGUCUUAAGAAGUUUGAGAGGAAAACACUUUCUAUGGUGAUUCCCGAGUUGGCCCUGCCUGAAACAUUCUUUGUUCCUGGUGCAGAGUCUCGGAGAUGGUCCAAUGGUGAUGUCUCUCUUGCCAUGUGAACGGGGCAUGUGGCUUUUACGAAAAUCUCGACCCCCGACUGAAAAAGGGAUCAGGAGCAGGAGCAGCGCGAGUGCGCGAUAGCCAUCGAGAGAAUGGAUCAAAGCGAGAGAGAGAGAAAAAAAAAAAGGCAGCUUUUGUGGUCUCUCGGCUCGGCCGCUCGGGUGGGCGUUUCUCCCCUCACCGUUUCGUUUCCACGGUUCCACCCCCGGUGGAAAGCGCAAUGACAAAGCAGAGCGGUUGGAUCCACAUCAACCGCGCGUCGCGGUGUCAAUCCUACCAACUUACCAAGGGCGACUCGUGUAGUGGACCCCGAAGUCUUAACGUUGAAACAUGGCAAAACCCCGGGCCCUGUCGUCCUCGUCGGGGAGCUCGAGACUUUUUUGAGCCCACGAGAAAAAGUCGCAGGUUAAAGUGUGGCCCUCGGCCCCUCGCGAGUCGCGAACGCUUGUGGGUUGUGGCAACAACAAUGUGGAUAAGUGCUGUGCUGGUGGCCCCGCUGCUGACGAAGUGACGGUGCAACUUGACGGAUCGUCGUGUUCGGCUGUUCAUUCACAGUUGUGUGCAUGGUCGCGUUGCAGCUGGCUGUAACUAUCCGUGCUCCUCUGCAGUACGUUAUGUAGUACGUCCUCGUGCUCGGCUCGUUCCUAUCCUCGAGAGAUUGGUAGGGUAUGUACAUAAGUCAGCCACAGGCUGUGUUAAAGACGAAAGAUUUUUAGUUUUUAUUAUAUGUGUUUUAUGAUAUGAAUGAUAGAGUUAGCUGUUAUAGAAUUAAAAAUCUUACUUUAGAAAAAUUGAUACGUUGGAUUUAUAUAUAGAAAUAUUUUAUAAAUAAUAAAUUGUUUAUCGGAUUAGAAAACAUGGGGGUAAAACCUGAAACGUAUGAUUAAAAAAACAGGAAAUAACGCGGCCAUAAUACUCGCAAACUGUAGUUUAAUGCAGCUAGUAGUAUUUGUUCACGAUUCAGCAAUCACAAGAGUAAAACCAUACCUGCACACUAGAGCAGCUGGAUUAAUUAUCGGAUUGAUUGGCCAGAUAAGCAGAAGACCGAUGGGCAAGAUAGAAAUAUCAGACAUUCACAAGCAUGUUCAAGUACUGGAAUCCAUCGCAAGAAAACUAAGAUAGCCAGAAACAUGAUUGCUAUGGGCUGAUAUAGGGGGUGGUUGGGAAAGGGCUAAACUUUAGCCCCUUGUCCCAUCGAAUGUUUGAAUAUUUAUUAUAAAUAGUAAACGUAGACUAUUAAUAAAAUACAUUUAUAAUCUUGGACUAAUUCGCGUAACGAAUGUAUUGAGGCUAAUUAAUCCAUAAUUAACCUCAUAAUUAACCUAAGCGAUGAUACAGUAAACAUGCCCUAAUUAUAGAUUAAUUAGGCUUAAAAAAUUCGUCUAGCGGAUUACCACUCAUUUAUAAAAUUAGUUUUUUUAUUAGUCUAUAUUUAACUUUAAAUUAAUAUUCAAACAUUCGAUGUGACAUGUGACUAAAAAAUUUUAUCCCAUCUAAACAACCCCAUAGCUAGCGAGCGCACUCCGGCGCUGCCACCACGGACACGCGGCUCACUGCGUGUAGUAAUGUACAGCUUCUCUAAAAUUCUACGUCGAACAGAGAAGAAGAGAUCGAUGGGCAAAGGCCACACGUACGAAUACGAUGGCAUCAUUAGCUACAACUUACAAGUACCUUGGGAGUUCAAACAACCUCGUCCUUGCCACCGUACAUGACGUUCCACGAAUCCAGCGUCGGGAAGCACGGCUGCUCAGCUGCNN